GAUGAUAUCAAUAUAUUGUGUCUAUUGUAUUUUAUCAGAGUAACUGAAAUUAUUCAACGCAUUCGCGCUUAGUUUGCAAUAGAAUACCCUAUAAGAUGGCUGUGUAUUUUGACGACAAAACCGGUAAAGGUGUGCCUCUCAUCCACGAUUUGGCUCUAGAGUUGUUUAAUGAUGGUAACUAGUACGAAAUAGAAGAUUUAGAUGGCGAAAAUGAUGAUGCUCUUGAGGUUCAAAUAUUUAAAAAUAACACCGAUGACAAGGAUAUUGAAGAAACUGUAUUGGAUGAAGAACCUGUUCCUUCAACGAGCUCUUCUUCAGCAAGGAAGCAAUUUUUGUUUUAUUUUAGUUAGUAUGUAAUAGCAUAUUAAAAAAUUAUAAAAAUAAUUGUUAUUUGGUCCUAAUAGUGUUUUACGUUUAAUAAAAGUGAAUUUUUUCAUACAUUUACGAUCCUGCAUUCAUAGAACAUAAGCCGAGAGUGCACGAACGUGACAUGUCAUUGGUGACAGAUUCAAACUAUGAAUUUUUUUUUCUGCAUUUUUUACACCUUUUUUAGAUACCGUAUAUCGUAUUUAUUCAAAGGGAAACUUCAUUUUCACUCAAAAAAAGUUCAAGCCUGAAAGGGAUAUUGCCCUAACAUUUGGGACCGUUCAAGUAUUACGUAACGCAGGAUGGGGAGGGGGCAAAAUCUUCAAAAAUUGCGUUACGCAAUAGUUAAACUUCCAUAAGAGUGCGUUACGUAGGGGGGGGGGUUAAACAUCUUCAAAAAUCGCGUUACGUAAUACUUGAACGCUCCCUUUGUGAUAAUGCAUUUGUUAGCCAAGAAACAUUGAUCAAGUAAGACUUCUCUAGUACCUUAACUUGUAAUAUGGCAGGUUGAAAUACCUUAAUCCUCGAAUUUUUAGUAUAGUUGUCUUAGCAAUAGUGUCUUAUCAUAUUUUAAGGGUAAAGCAAUGUCAAUAUCUAAAAAUAAAUACAUACUCGCAUUA